AUUGGAUCCAUGAUGGUAUUUUAUAAACUGCGUUAUCUAUCUGAACUUUCCUUGGAAAGGGGUUGAAGAUAAUUUUCCGUACUGAGAUCCUGU